GUGCUCACUUUGUCAGCACAUAUAUUAAAAUUGGAACGAUACAGAGAUGAUUAGCAUGACCCCUCUGUAAGGACGACAUGCAAAUUCAUGAAGUAUUCCAUAAUUUU
rnacentral:snRNA from 1 species